AGAGUUUGAUCAUGGCUCAGGAUGAACGCUGGCGGCGUGCCUAACACAUGCAAGUCGAGCGAAGCAAUGUUAAGGAAGUUUACGGAUGGAAUUAAGAUUGACUGAGCGGCGGACGGGUGAGUAACGCGUGGGUAACCUGCCUCAUACAGGGGGAUAACAGUUAGAAAUGACUGCUAAUACCGCAUAAGCGCACAGGACCGCAUGGUCCGGUGUGAAAAACUCCGGUGGUAUGAGAUGGACCCGCGUCUGAUUAGUUAGUUGGCGGGGUAGCGGCCCACCAAGACGACGAUCAGUAGCCGACCUGAGAGGGUGACCGGCCACAUUGGGACUGAGACACGGCCCAAACUCCUACGGGAGGCAGCAGUGGGGAAUAUUGCACAAUGGGGGAAACCCUGAUGCAGCGACGCCGCGUGAGUGAAGAAGUAUUUCGGUAUGUAAAGCUCUAUCAGCAGGGAAGAAGUUGACGGUACCUGAGUAAGAAGCCCCGGCUAACUACGUGCCAGCAGCCGCGGUAAUACGUAGGGGGCAAGCGUUAUCCGGAUUUACUGGGUGUAAAGGGAGCGUAAACGGCAGUGCAAGUCUGAAGUGAAAGCCCCGGGCUUAACCCGGGAACUGCUUUGGAAACUGUACGGCUGGAGUGCU
rnacentral:rRNA from 1 species